GACGAACGCUGGCGGCGUGCUUAACACAUGCAAGUCGAACGGAAAGGCCCUGCUUUUUUGGUGUGCUCGAGUGGCGAACGGGUGAGUAACACGUGAGUAACCUGCCCUUGACUUUGGGAUAACUUCAGGAAACUGGGGCUAAUACCGGAUAGGAGCUCCUGCUGCAUGGUGGGGGUUGGAAAGUUGCGGCGGGUGGGGAUGGACUCGCGGCUUAUCAGCUUGUUGGUUGGGUAGUGGCUUACCAAGGCUUUGACGGGUAGCCGGCCUGAGAGGGUGACCGGCCACAUUGGGACUAAGAUACGGACCAGAAUCCUACGGGAGGCAGCAGUGGGGAAUAUUGCACAAUGGGCGGAAGCCUGAUGCAGCGACGCCGCGUGCGGGAUGACGGCCUUCGGGGUGUAAACCGCUUUCGCCUGUGACGAAGCGUGAGUGACGGUAAUGGGUAAAGAAGCACCGGCUAACUACGUG
rnacentral:rRNA from 1 species